UGAGGUGUGGAUCAGUGGUAGAGCACUUGCCUGGCAUGUGUGAGGCCCUGGGUUCGAUCCUCAGCACCACAU
rnacentral:tRNA from 1 species